rnacentral:lncRNA from 1 species
GGCAAAGGGAGCGGCGGUGGAGCUGAGCAGGGGGAAAACGCAAAGCAUGUAUAGGUGGAUAUCAUGAAUAGGUGGUAAAUACGACCGGUACAAUUUUUCCGGAAGCGGGAUGUUGACGAAUAUAAUUAUUCCUCUAAUUCCCGUUCCUAUCUGGGAAUCGGCUAAUUUUGCGGCGCGCGCUUCAGCUAGAGGUAUGGAACUUCGUGGUAUCGACGCCAUCGAGGUCUGAGCAUGGAUUGCCAAUCUCCGUUGGUUGUAGUCUAAAUGUUUGUUGACUAUAGUAGAUUGUAUGGUUUACGACCGUGCGGCCGUAAGCCGGAUACAGCGGUCGAAGUCUGAUGUUUGCCAGUUGUAAGACACGCAACAAAAGAAAGCAUAUCCCAUCCGAUGCUCCUAUCACAACGAGAAGUAUUGAUUAUAUUGAAAUGUGUAUUUCAUCCUGAUAGCUCUCGGUCGCGAAGACAUUGGACAUUUCGGGCGCAGGGAGGACCCUUGAAUCUGUGGAGACGGUAUUGCGGAAAGUGAUGGUCUUGCUUUGUUGACUCAUGUUCGGCAUUUCAUUUUCUGGGAACAAGCCUUGACCUGGGGACUGUCCUAUGUGCCAGCAACCAUCACUUGCACGGUCUUUGCCGAAGGGUUUCAGUCCCUACCUGACGAGUUGAUUGUUUGAAUGCAAUUCCUUCUUCCCGUUUUUGCCUCCUGUCCGCAGUUCUUGGUGGGCCCAGCGGCAACUUGUGAUUAGACAGGCGCACCGCGCGCAGCCGGCCGGACGUGUGGAAAUGGAAAACCACCGGAUAGGCCUAACAGCACGAAGGACCUACGUAAUCCAGGCUGUCGGGCCCCUGCUGUCUAGCUUCACUUUUCGAUACCUGCAAGCCUUCCCGGUGUGCUCGUCUUGCAUGACCGCAAAAUGUCACAUCUUUAAGUGGCAUUUGUGCAGUCGCUGCAUUACGCGCUAGCGCUUAGGGUACGCACUGGCGGUAUCGGCCCUCACUCUACUCCUCCGAAGGGCGGGUCUGCCUUCUAUGGAGCCACGCACACAUGACCGCGAAUUGAAUUCGCUAGGUUGCAUGUCCCUCGACGUUUUACCUCUGGCUUCUCCUGUGUUUUCUAAAUCGUCCCAUCAGGCUGGGCUAUUAAAAGUCGAAAGUGGGUGUCGAAGUACUUCAGGAGUGAAAUGAUGACUACAUGCCGGCACGGGCUGUAAGCAUGUGGCAGGCUUGGACAAAUUUGGAAUGGCAGGCGCAUGUGCCAUAUUAUUACUUGCGAAAAUAUCAGGCAGUUUGUGAUUGGUUAAGAUCGGUUUCGGUUGACAGCGUGUUACAGCCGCCGCCGCAAGGUGUCACAUCACUAUUGGCUAGAAGAGGGACAUCGCCUGCCGCACAGCCAUGCCCUCCCGCCAUUUCGGGUCCCACUGCGCGUCCAGCAUGCACAAUACAAAUCCAAACCUCAUGGAAUCAUAUACUCCGGAUCAAUAUAAUUUAAAUAAAUGCAAUUUACAGGUGGCGUUGCAGCCCCCUGUGGCGGCAGCAAACCUGAUUCGCCGCCAAACCAUUGACUGCCACAAAGACGUACACGCAAGUCAUUGCUAAUCGGUGAGCGGAUUUUCGGUUCACAAUUCACGUGAAGAGAAGUCUUGAAACAACGGAAUGAAAUUAAAAUCCUAAUUGACAUGCGAUUGUUGACGCGGGUAAAACAAGGUAGAGGGGGGGGCGAGAGUGACAACCAACUUUGACUAGCUUGAGAGGUGCGGAUACGGAGAGAACCUCCAUGUAGCAGAUGUUGACAGUGUAUUUAUGAUGGUUUUAAACAUUUGCAUAUUGGCAAGCAGUGCCAGUGCAAUAAUCACUUCGGCGGGCGGCUUCCUUCUUGUGGCAUCAAUGUAAAGCACGGUGAAGGGUCAUAGCAUUUCGUUUUUUAAUUGUUAUUCAACGGCCCAAUAUUGUCUCAGCAUUCGGAGCCUUUGAUGGUCG